rnacentral:rRNA from 1 species
CGGGAAUAUUGCGCAAUGGAGGAAACUCUGACGCAGUGACGCCGCGUAUAGGAAGAAGGUCUUCGGAUUGUAAACUAUUGUCGUUAGGGAAGAAAAAGGACAGUACCUAAGGAGGAAGCUCCGGCUAACUACGUGCCAGCAGCCGCGGUAAUACGUAGGGAGCGAGCGUUGUCCGGAUUUACUGGGUGUAAAGGGUGCGUAGGCGGCUGUGCAGGUCAGUAGUGAAAUCCAUGGGCUUAACCCAUGAACUGCUAUUGAAACUGCACAGCUUGAGUGAAGUAGAGGUAGGCGGAAUUCCCGGUGUAGCGGUGAAAUGCGUAGAGAUCGGGAGGAACACCAGUGGCGAAGGCGGCCUACUGGACUUUAACUGACGCUGAGGCACGAAAGCGUGGGUAGCAAACAGG